rnacentral:rRNA from 1 species
AUAAACUAAAACUUUCAACAACGGAUCUCUUGGUUCUGGCAUCGAUGAAGAACGCAGCGAAAUGCGAUAAGUAAUGUGAAUUGCAGAAUUCAGUGAAUCAUCGAAUCUUUGAACGCACAUUGCGCCCCUUGGUAUUCCGAGGGGCAUGCCUGUUCGAG